GAUGAAGAACGUAGCGAAAUGAGAUAAGUAAUGUGAAUUGCAGAAUUCAGUGAAUCAUCGAAUCUUUGAACGCAUCUUGCGCUCCUUGGUAUUCCUUGGAGCAUGCCUGUUUGAGUAUCAUGAGCAAAUCUCAAAGUCAAUUCCUUUUGUUGAUUCAAUUGGUUUUGCUUUGGACUUGGAGGCCUUGCAGAUUUCACAGUCUGCUCCUCUUAAAUGCAUUAGCUGGAUCUCAGUAAUUAUGCUUGGUUCCACUCGGCGUGAUAAGUAUCACUCGCUGAGGACACUGUUAAAAAGGUGGCCAGGAAAAUACUGAUUGAACCGCUUCUAACGGUCUAUUAAGUUAGACAAUUACCCUUAAGUUUGAUCUCAAAUCAGGGAGGACUACCCGCUGAACUUAAGCAUAUCAAUAAGCGGAGGA
rnacentral:misc_RNA from 1 species